GACGCGUCCCUUUAAAUGUGUCGCAAGACAUCAACAGAAAAACAUUAAUGCGGUGUGAGUUGAAGAGUGAGUCUCUUGGUGUAUCGUCUGUGCAAACAGGAUAAUUUCGGCUUGGUGUCUGCGUGUAUGGUAACCAGUAAAUGGUGCCCGUAGUCACGAGUCUACAGACACUUGUUUGCAAAAUAGCGAGUAGUGAUUCUACAUGGGUUUGAGGUAACGAGUAACAUCGAGGAGAGUGUCCAGCUAUUAAUCAUUCAUGCCGUUUAAACUUUGGUAAAGGGUAUAUAGCUCUUAUUUAUUUGGGCUGGUGUCAAAAGAAAAAAAUGAGGAUUGCCUUCGUUGGUCACUAGCUACUGUUUUUCCUGGGUUUAAUAAUUUUGUUUCAUUUUGUAUUUCUUCAUAUGUGUGCCUUGGGGAUCUGCUACCACUGUUUUUGAUGACCUGGACCCAGGUGGGCCUAGGAGGGAGUCCGGCUAGUGGUAGUUUGUUAAUUUAGAUGUUGUUUUUUUUUUUUUUGUGUCUGUUUGGCAAUUGUCAUUAUUCAACCUUUGGCCCAUGGGCAUUGUGCAAUAUUUCCUUUAGGAAUCGUGUCUAUCUUGCAAUGUUUACUGGUGUGAAGUGUGAAAUGCUGUGUUAAUGUACGCAUGGCCAAUUUGGUUUGAAGUGUUUCUUGCAGUGUUGGAGUGUAUGUGAACAGUACCUAUAUAUCUGACUUUAUUCACUGUAGUCUAGGCAUUGUUAGAUUUUUAUCUUGUAACUCAUUUAUUAUGAGACCUUUUAUUCACUGUGAUUAAUCUAUUGUAGAAUUGUUCACUGUUACCUAUAGGAAACAUCUGUCUGCUCUGAUUGCCAAUCAGUGUAUUGUCUAGUGUUUAAUAAAAUUGAGUACAUCA